AUUGAACGCUGGCGGCGUGCCUAACACAUGCAAGUCGAGCGGUAACAGGCGUAGCAAUACGCGCUGACGAGCGGCGAACGGGUGCGUAAUACAUGGGAAUCUGCCCUUUGGUGGGGGAAUAACCCGGCGAAAGCCGGGCUAAUGCCGCAUAAGAUCCUCGGAUGAAAGCGGGGGACCGUAAGGCCUCGCGCCGUUGGAUGAGCCCAUGUCGGAUUAGCUAGUUGGCGGGGUAACGGCCCACCAAGGCGACGAUCCGUAGCUGGUCUGAGAGGACGGCCAGCCACACUGGGACUGAGACACGGCCCAGACUCCUACGGGAGGCAGCAGUGGGGGAUAUUGGGCAAUGGACGCAAGUCUGACCCAGCCAUGCCGCGUGCAGGAAGACGGCCCUCUGGGUUGUAAACUGCUUUUAUCAGGGAAGAAACCCUUCUACGUGUAGGAGGCUGACGGUACCUGAGGAAUAAGGAUCGGCUAACUCCGUGCCAGCAGCCGCGGUAAUACGGG
rnacentral:rRNA from 1 species